GAAUCAUCCAAUAAUUUAAACUGCAUGGAGUCUCAUUGCAGUGCUGUCAGUAUACUUUGAACUAAAUCAUUUGUUUGUCCAUGUUCAAUUGUGUUAUACGUAUUUGAAAAAAAUAAUCAAACAUAUUUUCAAUUAAAAUUAACAUAGGGAGGGAAGAAAAUGAGAAUAUUUUACCGAGAACAGAAACAUCUGAUCUAGCACACUGAGGGUAUCUGCAUGGAUACCCUGAAGAGCGCUGUCAAGCCUGCUCCAGAAAUUAUCAAAUUAUCUGUCUUCUAGAUGGCAGCUGUUUGUUAAAAGUUUACUAGAAUUUUUUAUUUUUUUUUAAUCUGAUCUGUGUGAACAGUCUUCAUCAAAUUUAAUAUACUGGUGUACAGUUCUUUACCACCUUCUUCCCAAUCAGUCUAGCAUUUUUGGGCUCUCAAAAUAAUUUUACAUUCAUGUGCCUUCUAUAGCUGAGUUCUUGCCUUUAAAAUUGCACAUACAUUUUAAAAGAACACAAGUAAUACAGUCAAUUAUGUGUUAUUUCUAUUAGAGCUAUUAAUCAUAAGCAUGAAAAGGUAGUGAAGUGCACAGUGAAGCCAAGCUCUAGUUAUCAAAUAUGCUGCUAUCAACGUGUGGGCUGCGUCCUGCCAUCCUCAGAAGUCUGGAGUCUUCAACUUGCCAGGCAGGAAGUAUUUGUACACAAAUACAAACUCUGUGUACUUGGAACUGAGAAACAACUAGAAACACUGGGGAAAAUGUGUAUUAAAAAAAAAGAAAAAAGAAAAUGCAAUGGCUUGGACCACCCUGGAGUUAGCCCCGCCCCCUGACUUUGAAGGGUGAGGUUUAGAUUAGAUUAAAUAGAUUUAUGAUGCACUACAACACAGAAACCAUUAAAUAAUUUAAUGUUUUGAUAUUUUAAUCUAAUAAUGACACAUUUAAGUAAUUAUUUUGGCACAAUCCCAAGUGGCUACAUUUGAAAUCCAUCACUGGUUCAUCCCUUAAAAAGCAUGGAAACUUCACUGCUCA
ensembl:lncRNA